AGGGCGACACACACACAUAUCCACGCUGCCUGCUAAAAGUAAACACCAAGAACCGUUAUGUUGCCACUGUGCCACAUUAAAAAAAAAAGAAGAGAAUAAGAAGAGAAACCACAAUGAAGGCUUUAUUCAAAGUAUUAUAACGUUAAUCAGCAGUUUUAAGGCGCCGUUUACAUAUGUUUGUAAGUAAUAAAGAGUACAUAAACAUUAAAUUAGACAGCACAUAUUUUCCCUGUAGGGUGAGCGUAAGUUCCGUAGGCAGUGUUGCCAGUUUUAUGCUCUCACCAAUACACAACCACCGAAUUACUUCAACUGCACAUGCGCAGGAAGCAUGAAUAAGUGCGAUAGACCAUUUAAUUCAGCUAUUUAGUUGUCCGAACAAUUAAAUCGUUUAAAAAACAUUCCUGCUAUUUUGAACUAGCUUAAUUAACGGUGAUUUACCGUUAAAGCGGGAUGGCAAUAGAGGCGAAAUGUUCGAGGACCCUCAGUCCUUUAUCGAUAACCAACGAUAAGUAUCGGUUUUUGAAAUUCCACACAAGAAUUGCUUGAAGGCUAUUCAAAAAGUAACGGCGGACACCUACAUAGAUUAGUGGGUGGAAUAUCUUCGGAUUUUUGAAUUUGCCGAGAGAGAUGCUGAUGCUGGGCUUUCCCGGAGCGCAGUCAGUAGCGCAGCAGUUGUGGGUGAGGGAACAACAACGUCUACGACCCGGCAAAGGCAACUUAUACGGCCGUUUUAACAGGUCACCCCGCCGCACUACAUCCACCUUCAAGUUGCUAAUGGCAAUAACUUUAAUUAUUAAAAGAAGAGUCCCUGGAUUAGGGAAGGAUUGCGGGUUUCUCAACGCAUAAGAG